rnacentral:rRNA from 1 species
UACGUAGGGGGCAAGCGUUGUCCGGAAUCAUUGGGCGUAAAGCGCGUGUAGGCGGUUCAGUAAGUCUGCUGUGAAAGUCCAGGGCUCAACCCUGGGAUGCCGGUGGAUACUGCUGGGCUAGAGUACGGAAGAGGCGAGUGGAACUCCCGGUGUAGCGGUGAAAUGCGCAGAUAUCGGGAGGAACACCAAUUGCGAAGGCAGCUCGCUGGGACGUUACUGACGCUGAGACGCGAAAGCGUGGGGAGCAAACAGG